rnacentral:rRNA from 1 species
ACGCUCGACACCUACGGGAGGCAGCAGUGGGGAAUAUUGCACAAUGGGGGAAACCCUGAUGCAGCGACGCCGCGUGAGCGAAGAAGUAUUUCGGUAUGUAAAGCUCUAUCAGCAGGGAAGAAACUGACGGUACCUGACUAGGAAGCACCGGCUAAAUACGUGUCAGCAGCCGCGGUAAUCUGAGCGGGCUGGCAAGGC